UAGGAGGGAGGUGGGGACCCCAGCCAUGGUUCUGCAGUGUGGCGGCCAGCUGGAGACAGGGCCUUUCAACACUAUUUUCAUCAAGUGGUUCUGAGCCAGUUCAUUUAUUUUUGGAUUCUCCUUAAUUCCAAAUGAAAGCAGGUGAUACUAAAAUCAGACUAUGCUGCAUGAGAACAACUAACCUCCUCUAAAAGACCCUCACCACGUUAUUUUUUACCUCGUGGAAUCCAGGAGCUGACUAAGUUGGCUUGGCUGUACAUAGGAGGAAGACCCUGAUCCCUAGUGCUCAACACAAAAACGCUUCAAUAAUCCCCUGAGAUUGUUUUACCUUGCAACACUCUCUGGAAAAUUGUUGUUCCAGGAAUGUAAUGAAAAGAUCUGCAAGAGAGUACAGCCCCUGUUGACUGACUUGUCUUGAUCAAACCAGAGCUUCUGGCUGGGAUACUGGUAUCUCGAGAGAGUCAUGGCAGGAGAUACAUGCUGGAGCUGAGGACGUAGUAGAGACAGCAGAAAAGGUAGGAGACAGCAAGAGGAGAGCAGCCUACAGAUGAGAAGACAAGUAAUUUACCCUGAAGUUCUGGGACUGCUGUAGGUCACAGGAAAAAUCCUUCUGAGAGAUUUUGAUUUUAGGUUUUGAUUGUACUUCUGUUUCUAUGAAUGAUAGAAGAAGAAGCCUAUGAAGUAUACAUUUUCGUAGUAUUUUAUAGAUGAGAAUCAGUGUUUUUAAGCUAUUAACUGAGUCACCUAAUUAGUUAAUGAAAGAGUGGGAUUACAACCCAAGUGUGUUUGAUCUCAGAGACCAUGCUUUCUAAUUCACAAAUACUCUUUCCCUAGUAGAAUCCAUACCAGUGUUUUCCAAACUUGUUUAUUCUGUGAGAUAAACAAAAGUAAAAUUAGAGUAUGAUUUGCAAUAAAAGUAGUUGUUGGUGGUGAAUUAGAGGCAAGAGUCAGAAAGACCAUGUAAUUGAAUAUGUGAAGCAACAGGGGUUUUUGCUAAUGGGCUGUGUUCUUGUGAAGGUAAGGAAAGAGAAAAUAAUGUGGACUAAGAAACGGAUAAGGCAAGGAAAAGACAAUAAUGGAAGCCAAAACGAAGUGAAAGGAAAAACAGACCAUUUGUUAUAUUUUGCUUUAUUACCACCACCAUUCUUAGGCAUCAGAACAUUUUUAAAAAAUCAUGGCAGUAACUUCUUGAAGUAAUAUUGAUAAAACUUGCUUCCAAAUAUUUAUAUAUUUGUAAAUAAAAAGCAUAAUCAGAAUUCAGUGGUCCCUUUUUAAUGUCACAAGUAGUGCAAUGUUAACAAGCUAGACUGCACGAUAUCCUGUUUAAGUGUGUGUCUGUGCAUGAGUGGGGCAGGGACGGGAUCUUUGUGGUGUCAUAUUUACCUAUCAGUAUGAAUGUAGGAAGUAAAUUCUGAAUUGAGAAAAUCAUCAUAUUGCAACUGUAUCUAAUUUAUGUGAAUUAAUAAUAAGGGCAUAAAUCUUACUACUUAUUCUAGUUCAUAAGGAGCUGGUGAAGCAGUCCUUUAUAAUGAAAUAAUUACUUUUUCAAGGCAGGAAGAUAGUAGUAAUUUGAUAGGUGAAUGAUUUCCCAAUAUAUAAAAAUCAAAUCCAAGGGAAUUUCUAAAGCCAAAUACAUAUUAUUUUUGAUUUUUGUACCACUUCAGAUAAUUUGUAUCCAUAGUCUUUAAGCAGAAUUUAAAAAAUCAAAAGUUGACGGUAAGAAGAUCUCCAGGGAUAGGAUUUAAUGUGAUUUUUGUCUGCACAUUGUUAUUUUCUGAUUGUUCUACAAUUAACACAGGUUAGUAAACAAAUUAAAGGAGAUAAUUGUUGAUAAACAGAUAGAACCAAUUCUCAAAUUCUGAAUAAGCCUAAUUCAUUGGCAAAUAUGUUGAUUGUAGAUAAGACCACGUUUUUAGAUAAAGAUGACAAUUUAAAUUCUGUUUUGAUUUGAGGUCAGCUCACAAAGACCUCUGAAACUUUCAUUUAGUUUAGCUUCAGCACUGAUAAGAGAAACUGAAAUUUACUGUCUUCUCUCUUAUUAUGUGAUGCCUAAGACAGGAAAAAAAAAAGAGCUCCCUUAACUCUUCUUGGACUUAAAAAAAAAAAUAGCUUCACUGAACUUUAAU